ACUGGAGGACCGAACCGACUAAUGUUGAAAAAUUAGCGGAUGACUUGUGGCUGGGGGUGAAAGGCCAAUCAAACCGGGAGAUAGCUGGUUCUCCCCGAAAGCUAUUUAGGUAGCGCCUCGUGAAUUCAUCUUCGGGGGUAGAGCACUGUUUCGGCUAGGGGGUCAUCCCGACUUACCAACCCGAUGCAAACUACGAAUACCGAAGAAUGUUAUCACGGGAGACACACGGCGGGUGCUAACGUCCGUCGUGAAGAGGGAAACAACCCAGACCGCCAGCUAAGGUCCCAAAGUCAUGGUUAAGUGGGAAACGAUGUGGGAAGGCACAGACAGCCAGGAUGUUGGCUUAGAAGCAGCCAUCAUUUAAAGAAAGCGUAAUAGCUCACUGGUCGAGUCGGCCUGCGCGGAAGAUGUAACGGGGCUAAACCAUGCACCGAAGCUGCGGCAGCGACACUAUGUGUUGUUGGGUAGGGGAGCGUUCUGUAAGCCUGCGAAGGUGACCUGUGAGGGUUGCUGGAGGUAUCAGAAGUGCGAAUGCUGACAUAAGUAACGAUAAAGCGGGUGAAAAGCCCGCUCGCCGGAAGACCAAGGGUUCCUGUCCAACGUUAAUCGGGGCAGGGUGAGUCGACCCCUAAGGCGAGGCCGAAAGGCGUAGUCGAUGGGAAACAGGUUAAUAUUCCUGUACUUGGUGUUACUGCGAAGGGGGGACGGAGAAGGCUAUGUUAGCCGGGCGACGGUUGUCCCGGUUUAAGCAUGUAGGCUG
rnacentral:rRNA from 1 species